rnacentral:rRNA from 1 species
UACAGAGGGUGCAAGCGUUGUUCGGAAUUAUUGGGCGUAAAGGGCUCGUAGGCGGUUUGUCGCGUCGGGAGUGAAAACCAGGUGCUUAACACCUGGCUUGCUUUCGAUACGGGCAGACUAGAGGUAUUCAGGGGAGAACGGAAUUCCUGGUGUAGCGGUGAAAUGCGCAGAUAUCAGGAGGAACACCGGUGGCGAAGGCGGUUCUCUGGGAAUGACCUGACGCUGAGGAGCGAAAGUGUGGGGAGCGGACAGG